rnacentral:rRNA from 1 species
UACGUAGGGUGCGAGCGUUAAUCGGAAUUACUGGGCGUAAAGUGUGCGCAGGCGGUUUCGCAAGUCAGGUGUGAAAGCCCCGGGCUUAACCUGGGAAUGGCAUUUGGGACUGCAAGGCUGGAGUGUGGCAGAGGAGACUGGAAUUCCUGGUGUAGCAGUGAAAUGCGUAGAUAUCAGGAGGAAUACCGAUGGCGAAGGCAGGUCUCUGGGCUGACACUGACGCUCAUGCACGAAAGCGUGGGGAGCAAACAGG